rnacentral:rRNA from 1 species
UACAGAGGUCCCAAGCGUUGUUCGGAUUCACUGGGCGUAAAGGGUGCGUAGGUGGUGGGGUAAGUCGGAUGUGAAAUCUCCGAGCUCAACUCGGAAAUGGCAUUGGAAACUACCCUGCUAGAGGGUCGGAGGGGGGACUGGAAUGCUUGGUGUAGCAGUGAAAUGCGUAGAUAUCAAGCGGAACACCAGUGGCGAAGGCGAGUCCCUGGACGACUCCUGACACUGAGGCACGAAAGCGUGGGGAGCAAACAGG